UGACACCAAGCUGACACCCUGAUACGCAUUUAACACUAAAUCUCCUGCUUAUAAAGUCUUGAAUACAUAAGAUAACAAUACAACAACAGACAUCAUCACCAAGUCAACCAUUUAUAUCAAAUAUUUAAAAGAUUAGGAUAAGGAACCAACUUGCAAUGCGCCAUUCGAUUUAUUAACAACAUAUUCUAAGUUCACAUAAAAGACUAUGUGAGGCUUCUCUUAAUCACAGAUAUUUACGUUGUCAGACACAGUGGCUAACCAGAUCAAUCAACUUCUAUACGCUAAAUCCACAAUGCUAAGUUGUUUACUGGCCUUACGUAAUAUAUUUUCGUUUGAUUCAUGGGCUUCGUGUUAGAGACUUGCCGUCAUCACACAAUGAUGCAACAGUCUAAUAAGGUUUCUUAAUGUGAACAUUUAAGGCAUUACAUCACUUAGUUUUUUGUAAACACUUAGUAUUUAAUAGUAAAAUACUUCGACUAGUAUGCAAAACAUGUCACAAAAAAACGUCAGCACGAUCCUCUUUGCAAAUAUUCGGGUCUUUGUAUGAAAGAAAUACAUACUGUCAAUUUAACAACUAGUACUUCAAUUUAUAUGUUAAUUUUCAAAAGUAGCAUUUUGCUGAUUUAAUAACUUCCUGAGAACUCUGUGUUCAGGAAAUCUAUACCAAGUUCAAUGUAGUUUUGCAGAUUACGUUGUUAACUAAUUCCCACUUCCAUUUCAUUUCUAAGGUUAACAUGAUAUAUGUCCUGUCAACCUUACUCAGUGCUGAUGUUUUACUAAAUAGAACAAAAUUCAGAAUAGAAUUCCUAGCAAUAAAUUAAUUGGUAGACUUCUCAUAGUGCAUCAACAUAAAUUUUACUGUAAUUCUCAUUCUCAUUAAAACUAUAACAAGCAAGAAAACUGUCCGGUUUUAUCACACAUUCGUAUUGUACACAUACUUUAUACUUAAAUAUUGUAUUAUGUUUAUAUAUCUUGUAUCUAUGGCAACGUUCUUGUUUAUAUAGACCUGUUGUAUAAUUUUUAUUUUACUUGAAAAUGGGUGUUUAACACCCGAACCGA